rnacentral:sRNA from 1 species
GUAUGUUUAGGAAUUUUUCUUCUUAGACAAUUCAAUAAACCCUCAAAAGUCAAAACGAAAACCCAAUCAUUUUGCUAAACCGCUUCUGCGAACCAAUAUAUGGAACCGAUAAGAAAAGCCACUAGAUUGAUUAGUUUGAAUUCAAAAUUUCACCGGUCAGACAAGAUACCCAAUCAUUGUGUUUACCGUUGCUAUAAUGAAAAAGUGACAAAGGUCGAUGCAGUCAAAGUUUUAUUUGAUACCUAUUCAAACUCUAGUUGAUUAGCAAGUAUUCAAAGUGUAUGUGUAAUAUACAUUGGACAGGGAGAUGAGAGAUUCAAUUCAAUGCAAGUUGUGUCUAUGUGACUCCAUCAAUACACUUGACUAAUCAGAAUCAAUGCUCCAUCUAGCUAGACUGUGCGAUCGAAUCUUUAUUUUAAUUCAUCUUCAAAUUCGUCAGU